rnacentral:rRNA from 1 species
CAAGUCGAACGGUAACAGGAAACAGCUUGCUGUUUCGCUGACGAGUGGCGGACGGGUGAGUAAUGUCUGGGAAACUGCCUGAUGGAGGGGGAUAACUACUGGAAACGGUAGCUAAUACCGCAUAACGUCGCAAGACCAAAGAGGGGGACCUUCGGCCUCUUGCCAUCAGAUGUGCCCAGAUGGGAUUAGCUAGUAGGUGGGGUAACGGCUCACCUAGGCGACGAUCCCUAGCUGGUCUGAGAGGAUGACCAGCCACACUGGAACUGAGACACGGUCCAGACUCCUACGGGAGGCAGCAGUGGGGAAUAUUGCACAAUGGGGGAAACCCUGAUGCAGCGACGCCGCGUGAAGGAAGAAGUAUCUCGGUAUGUAAACUUCUAUCAGCAGGGAAGAUAGUGACGGUACCUGACUAAGAA